UAACCCUAACCUCUCUCAUCCAAUUCACACACACGUACCCCUCCCCACCCAUUUAUUUCUCAGUGAGCCACGCUCACCCUCCCCUCACCACUCAUUCACUCAUAAACACAUACCACACACAAAACAAAUAAACAAGAACAUACACAGACAUAUACACGGAGAGAAGAGAGGAGAGAGUACUACGAGCCAGGGAUGACGCGAGGAAGGAGAGAAGCUGUCGCGCUUGGCCGUUGCCAGCUCUGUCGCAUCCUGUGCCGCGCCAUCGCCGCCCAGACCGUGUCCGUUCCAUUCAGCCACCGCCGCUGCCGUUGUGUGGGAGAGAGAGAGAAGCUGAGAAAGACUCAGUCGCGAGAACUAGAGGCGUGUGAGAGAGGGAGACGCAAUCAACGAAGGGAAGGGAAAAAGGUUUCACCACCACAGUGUCCUGCCACCACUGCUGCCUCUGAUCGGAGCCCUAGCCACCAGAGCCCCUACCGUCACCGUUGCAUGUGAGAGGAGAAGAUGACGUUGCCGAUUCUGAUUCUGCCCAAGUCCCUCAUCGUCACUAGAAUCACGAACCAGAGGAGGAAGGAGGCGUUCCUCCAUCACCAGCCAGCCACCAAGCUAUGACCAAAUUGGAGACAUUGUUUCUAUUACCUUUCGCUUUGGUAAGCUUAUGAAGAAAUUGCUCUAUUUCUGCCCUGUAUCACCUUGCUCCGCAAUUGUUUCUAAUUCAUUUAGUUUUUCAGAGUCAUUAUUGUCAUUGUUCGGCGUUGCCGCACUUGUCUAGAGCUAUUGAAUGUUUCUGCUGCAAGAAUAUUAUUAGAAUCGCUGCUGUUGCCACGAAUUGGGGAUAAAGAGGAUUCUUGCAUCAAAUCCUGCUAUUGAGAC